UCUUUGUUAACAUUUCCAUAUUGUUCCUUCAUUAUUUUCUUGACUUUUUCUACAUCAUUUAGUUCUUUGAGCAUCUUUUAGACAGUUGUUUAAAAGUCUUUGUCGAGAACAUUUACCAUCAAAUUCUUUUUCAGAGACAGUUUCUGUUGACUUAUUUUUAUCCUCUGAAUAGACAUGCUUUCCUGAUAUUUUUUUUGUUUGUAUGCCUUGUGGGUUUUUUGUUUAAAACUGGACAUUUGAACAUAAUAAUCUGAUAACUCUGGAAAUCAGAUUCUCCCCCUUCUCCAGGUUUCGCUGUUUACUGCUGCUGUUUUUGCGUAUAACUUUUUAUUGUUGUAUGCUGUCUCUGCAACAAGGAUCAGCCUGAAGUGUAAGCUUAAUGUCUUCUGAGGUCUUUUCUGACCCGGUGCCUUUCCUGGGGCGUGCAUGGCCACUUUUUAAUUUUUCCCAUUUAUGCAGUUGCUUUUGAAUGUCCUGAUCUUUAUUGUCUGGCUCCCAAAAGGGGGAAAGGAGAAAAAUGAAGAAGAGUGGGGGAAGACCAGCAGCCCUUUAAAUCCCCUGGAAAUUGUUUCAGCCCGAGGGCAGGACGUACAACAAUGGGAGAAGACACAACAAUAAUGGCUGCAUUUUUACGAUCAGAGCAAAUGCUGCUGAUAUUAGGAGGACAGUGUCCUUUUUUGUCUACUCUGGCUCCUGCAAACUGCAUGAAAGCUGCUUUGGGACCAUGCUCAGGACUGCCUGCCACAGGGCUGGGCAAGUGGGGAUGAGUAGUUGCUACUGUGCUAAGAGCUGAAAGUGACUGCCAUUUGCCACCGUUUGCUGUCCAAGCCUUCUCCUAUAAAUUGCAGGGCUUCAUGGACUCCAGAGUUCCAGAAUACGUUGCACAAGGCAGAUUCUGCCAGUGCAAUUAUUGUCUAGGUGGGAGACAGCUUCCUUGUGCUUCCGACUCCCAAGAAUCCUCUCGACAAUGGUAUUUAGGAAGAAAUUAAGCUUUAGCUAUUACAUGUAAAUGUGUUUAUUACAUGACUAAGGAAAACGCCCUUGAUCUCUCUGAGGAAAUGUCUUCUCUCCUUCGAUUCACUGCAAGGAGAAGAUGGCAUCAGCACAUCACAUCUUUCACAAUGUAUUUCUAAAAAACCAGUCAUUCGCAGUCCUGGUUUCACAUAAAAUCAUUUGAAAAGCUUUUGAAGAAUAUAGCUUUUCUGGAUCUGAUGAAUCAGAACCUCUAGGGAAUGGGCAGGUGCCGAAAAUCUCCCUCACGUGAUUCUAAGGCACGUGAGAAUCGAUCACCAGUGACCAGGCUCCAGAAGGAAGAGUAGAGAGAGCGAGGGUCUCCUGCGAUUCUCUGGGAACUGGGAAAGGCACAGCAAUAAGUCAGCCUGCAUUUCCUGCCCUAAAUAUGUUCUGACACAUGCUCGAUGGGCAGUCAGAAAGCUUUCCCAGAGAACCUCCCUGGUUCUAAACAUAGUCAAGCUUGUUCUAGACUAGUAUCAUCCCUUUAAAAGCUAUUAAAAGUCUCCAAAGGCCACUAUCUCCAUGCUCCUUCUGUGCCAGUUUGGUUUUAGGAUGAAAGGCCUUGACAAGGUCUAAAAGGACUAAUGAGACUUGUGUUCCUGGCCCCUCCCUACCUUUUUAGGAUCAUUUCACUUUCCUGAACUUCUGUUAGUGUUUCCAGUUUUCCAGAAAACUCUUUCAUGUCUCAGAAACGUUAUAUACUCAAAUUCCAUACUUCGCUGCAUGAAAUGAUGAAAAAUCACCUCUCCACACAUUUCUCUUCUCUCUCUCUCUCUCUCUGCUUUUCCUCCCCAGUUAAUUCCAAAUUAUUCUUUGAAGCUCAUUUCAGAUGAGCUGAGCUUUUUCAAAGAAGCCACCCAUGCCUGCCCUCUCCACAAUCUAGGUAAGGAAUCAGUCCUUUUAAUCCCUCAUCUCACUCUCUAAUUUUUAAUUUGCAGUAUUUAUCAGAGUCUUGUGCUUUACAGUUAUUGGUGUGACUAGGGAGUAAAUGUCUGUCUCUCCCAUUCAAAUGUGGGUUUGUGAGAGUUGGGGCUGGGUCCCCUUUGUUCUCCACUGCCCAGAGCUAACCAAGUGCCUUUUUCCUAGGACAGGUUCCGGUACUAUUUGUUGAAUGAAUGAAGUGAAUGAAAGAGAUUCUUUUCCCCAUCCGUGGAAGAAAACUGUUUCAUUUAUUCAUUCAACAAAGUCAAAUGUGUCAAAGUCUGGGAGAAUCACAUCAUAAAUCAGAUAUAGACUCUUUCCUUGAAGUUCUUAGAGUCUAGAGGGAAAUAAAAGAUAUGUAUUCAAAAACUAUUACAGGAUACUGUAAGGGAAAUCAUAAACUUUGUUAGUAAGAUCAAAUUUUGGUCCUACAAAGUUGCCAAAGAAAGGAGAUUUUCCAUGUCAGAAGAGUUAGGUGGCCUCACUGCCCUGGGCUUGUGUGACACUCUUAAGCCAGCUGGAUUUGAGUGUUAGGUCCUGGGUGCUGGGCUCCAGGUGUUUAACCUGCUUCUGCAGCAGUCCCCACGUCUGCGAAAAGGUCAGUCUUCUAGUGCAAGAGAACCAUGUUUUUACCAAAAAUGGUUUUAGCAGAACACUGCAAGUCCCAUAACACUGAAGAAGACAGAUGGUGAAUAAGCGCAUGGAAAGACAUUCAGCAUCAUUAACCACCAGGGAAAUGCAAAUGACACCCACCAUGAGACAUCACUACACGCCUACCGGAAUGGCUGACAUAAAAAAUGACAAGACCAAACAUUGGUGUGGGUGUGGGGAGUGUGGGCACUCACACAGUGCUGGUAGGAAUGUGAAAUGCUACGGCCACCCUGGAAGACAGACAGUUUCCAGUUUUGACAGUGUCUUAAAAAAUUAAACAUGCAACUACUAUACAACCCAGAGAUCACACUCCUGGGGAUUUAUUCCAGAGACAUGACUACUCAUGUGGAUUCCAAAACCUGUACACAAAUGUUUCUAGGAGCUGUAUUUGCCAUAGGCCUAAACCGGGAGCAGGCCCAGGGUCCUUCCACAGGUGAAUGGUUAAACACACUGAAGUACGACCGUACGUGCCAUAGAAUACUACCAAGCAAUGCAAAUGAAUGAACUAUAAAUACCUGCACCAAUCUGGAUGAAUCUCCCAUCAUGCUAGUGAAAAAAAACAAUCCAAAAAGCUUAUCCCCAGCUCAUGCUUAAGCCUCCAGAAGACACUGGCCACAGCACCCGGUCCUGCAUGGCCACACGCUUUGCCCAACUCCCUGCGCCAGAGUUGCCAGCCCAGCCCUGGCCUGGCGUGCGCAGACCAGAAACCAUUCCCUCCUGCUUGUGCCCUGCUUGUGUAUGAUUCUGUUUACAAAAGGAUGAAAUUAUAGAAAUGGAAACAGAUAACUGGUUGCCAGGAAUUAAAAAGGUGGUGGAGGUGGAAAGAAAGUUGGUGUGGCCGGAACAUAGGAAUGGAAAAGCUCCUUGUGCUGAUGGAAAUGUCCAGUAACUCCAUUAUGUUCAUGUUAAUAUCCUGCUUAUGAUACUGAACUCUAAUUUGGAGAGAUAUCAUUGAGAGAAACUGGAUAAAAGGUUGAUGGAAUCUCUUUGUAUUAGUUCUUAAAACUGGAUGUGAAUCUACAAUUAUCAAAAAAAUGAAAAAAGAUUAAUUUUAAAAGGUUACAAGAAGGUAGCAAAAUCAAGGAAGCCAGUAUGUCAGUUUGUCAGUUACGGUGUGAGCCUUAGAACCCUGACAUCCUACUCGUCAGUGGUCCUGACUGCUCAGGAGUCCUCAGGCUUCGAGGAUUUGAGCACAGUGCUCUGCCAACUGCUGUAGAUAUGACCAAUUUGGGUGCUAAGAAUUGAAGACAAAAGGAUGUUCACAUCAAUCAAAAAUCACUCCAAGCUUUUAGGUGGUUAUUCAAGCCCUCAUGGCACAAGUUCUUCAGAACUAAAGGAACAAUGGAGCUCUUUCCUUCAAAGGGCUAUUAUUGAACCUGAUUAGGUGUAUUGAUCCAGCCAAAGAGAAGGAGGAACCAAAGACCAUUCCCCUUCAGAUCCGCCCUGCAGAUGUCAAGAAGUAUUCCCAUCUCGGACCCCCUCUAGGGCCAGGUGUUGCAGUUAACUGUCACGUCCAAUGCAGAGGAGUUUUGAAGUCUUUCAUUCUGAAGAAUGUCAAGAUUGAGUUGACCUGAGAGGGAUGACACUUUUAAGUGAUCAACCAUCUUGAGUUUGGCCUCAGCUCCUGAGAACUGGUCACAUUUUCCUGUUCUUCGUAUAUCAAGUAACACUUCAGCUCAUCUGGAAAAAAGUACCUGGUGCUCCGUCUGACAGGUGGGAUGCAGAUCUUUGUGGAGACCCUCACUGGCAAGACCAUCAACCUCGAGGUUGAGUCCACCCUGCACUUGGUCCUGCACUUGAGGGCAGCUUCCACACCCAAGGGGCCUGGCACAGUUCUGGCUGGAUAAUUGGGUCAGAUUGUUCCUGAUUGGCGUGUGUGCAAACAUGCAGGCUGCGUCGACAACUCUAUGCCAUUCUCU